UCGAACGCGUUGGCCCAACUGAUUGAUUGUGCUUGCACAGGAUUGACGUUGGUUUCCCAACGAGUGGCGGACGGGUGAGUAACACGUAGGCAACCUGCCCCGAAGCGGGGGACAACAUUUGGAAACAAGUGCUAAUACCGCAUAACAACUUUGACCGCCUGGUCAAAGCUUAAAAGAUGGUUUCGGCUAUCACUUCGGGAUGGGCCUGCGGCGCAUUAGCUUGUUGGUGGGGUAACGGCCUACCAAGGCGAUGAUGCGUAGCCGAGUUGAGAGACUGAUCGGCCACAAUGGGACUGAGACACGGCCCAUACUCCUACGGGAGGCAGCAGUAGGGAAUCUUCCACAAUGGGCGCAAGCCUGAUGGAGCAACACCGCGUGAGUGAAGAAGGGUUUCGGCUCGUAAAGCUCUGUUGUUGAAGAAGAAUGUGCAAGAGAGUAACUGUUCUUGUAUUGACGGUAUUCAACCAGAAAGUCACGGCUAACUACGUGCCAGCAGCCGCGGUAAUACGUAGGUGGCAAGCGUUAUCCGGAUUUAUUGGGCGUAAAGCGAGCGCAGGCGGUUUUCUAAGUCUGAUGUGAAAGCCUUCGGCUUAACCGAAGAAGUGCAUCGGAAACUGGAUGACUUGAGUGCAGAAGAGGGCA
rnacentral:rRNA from 2 species